rnacentral:rRNA from 1 species
CUAAUACCGCAUAAAGUCGCAAGACCAAAGUGGGGGACCUUCGGGCCUCUUGCCAUCACAUGUGCCCCGAUGGGAUUAUCUAGUAUGUGGGGUAACGGCUCACCUAGGCGACAAUACCUAGCUGGUCUGAGAGGAUGACCAGCCACACUGGAACUGAGACACGGUCCAGACUCCUACGGGAGGCAGCAGUGGGGAAUAUUGCACAAUGGGCGCAAGCCUGAUGCACCCCUGCCGCGUGUGUGAAAAAAGCCUUCGGGUUGUAAAGCACUUUCUGCGGGGAGGAAGGCGUUAAGGUUAAUAACCUUGUCGAUUGACGUUACCCGCAGAAAAAACACCGGCUAACUCCGUGCCAGCAGCCGCGGUAAUACGGAGGGUGCAAGCGUUAAUCGGAAUUACUGGGCGUAAAGCGCACGCAGGCGGUCUGUCAAGUCGGAUGUGAAAUCCCCGGGCUCAACCUGGGAACUGCAUUCUAAACUGGGAGGCUAGAGUCUUGUAGAGGGGGGUAUAAUUCCCGGUGUAGCGGUGAAAUGCGUAUAGAUCUGGAGGGAUACCGGUGGCGAAGCGGCCCCCCUGGGACAAGACUGACGCUCACGUGCGAAAGCGUGG